rnacentral:lncRNA from 1 species
CUCAGUAAUGCCUGACACCAGGUCACCUCUAUCUCCCAAAGCCUUGAUGAAAAGAAUCUCUCCUGGACAUUUCCAGAGUAGAUGGUGUUAUAUUUGGUACCAAGAAGUUGCAGAGAGUAAUAGGUUGAUAAAUGAGAGUUCAUCGUGAUAUUGUGGAGAAUCAGCAGCCACCUGCAAAAUAAACACCUCAAGAGAAAUCAUUGCAGGUUUGUCACGAAAGAAGGGCAGUAUAUUUAACAGGGGAAGAAAGGCUAUCGUUGAGGGCAAAGAGGUGUGGUAGAGUGUUCGAAAAAUUCAUUGAAAUCCACCUGUAUAGCAUCUUCAUGAAUUCCUGUACUUAAAAUAAAAUUGGAAGCAAAUUCUUCCCCAAAAUUACAAGGAAUGGAGGCUGGGAAACUACAUUUCUGAGACUCCUUCAUCAUCAGGAUGCCAGAUAAUAUUUUAGGUCGGAAGAGAGAAUAUCAUUCUGCUUGUAUGAGAAAGGACUGGACGCAUUUCUGUCAAAUGGGAGUAUAUGGGGAGCACCUCUGUACAAUGGUGGCUUUGAAUAUAGUCCUGAGAAAAUGAAGAAACAAGCCAUGUGCCCACAUAAAGAAAAUGUGUUUCAAGCAUAGAGAAGAACAAGUGCAAAGAUUAUCAAUAGGGAUGUGUUUGGCUUUAAAGGAUGAAGAAGUCAUAGAUGAACAAAAUGACAAGUGACAAAGUCAGAUUGGUAGAGACACGAUCAGAUUAUGAGGCAUCUUGAGCUAAAAAAAUGUAAUUUUACUCUGGCCAAAUAAGUCAUGAGAAAAGUUUUAAGUUUUAAAGAAGAAGAGUUUACAGAAAAAGAGCGGCAUGAAAUGAGGAAUUUUAAUAAAACCUUAAAGAGAUCACUGUGUGAAAUUGUAUAGACACAAUAAUGGCAGGUAAGAGGCUUUUGCAAAUCCAGAAAUGAUCAAUGAUUUAGAUCCCAAAGUAUUGAUCUGUAUUUUUUCACCCUUUUUCUCAUUAUUGUAACUUGUGUGUCGUGUCAUCUAGUAUGUGUACCUGCAUGUUAACCAAAACAAAAGUUCAAAUAAAUGGCUACUAUGAUGACAAUGUGAACUUUAAUCUUUUGGAGGUAAUUUUGGUCUUUGGAAACACGAUAAAAUUGGUAUGGUAGAAAGGAGAAACAUAGCUAAAUAGAGGGUAGACAAUCAAGAAGUAAAGUAGAAGAGACCUUGGGGAAAACUGUCUCCAUACCUGCUCCCCCUUCCAGCUACCUGGCUCACAAUCUGCUUACAAUGGUUCUGGAUACUUUCCUGAAUGGACAUAGGACCAUGAUGAGAGAAUCCCACCCAGCAAAUAGGACACAACUUACCUCGAGGAAGUGUUAUUCUAGGUAUGAAGCUGUGAGGGACCA